UCCUCGUUUAAGCGAGGCAGUCUGUCCAGAGUGCUUCGAACUCUCGUUCCCGAAGGCACAUCCGCAUCUCUGCAGACUUCCGUGGAUGUCAAGGCCAGGUAAGGUUCUUCGCGUUGCAUCGAAUUAAACCACAUACUCCACCGCUUGUGCGGGCCCCCGUCAAUUCCUUUGAGUUUCAGUCUUGCGACCGUACUCCCCAGGCGGCGAACUUAACGCGUUAGCUUCGACACUGAGAGCCUAAUUGCUCCCAACGUCCAGUUCGCAUCGUUUACGGCGUGGACUAC
rnacentral:misc_RNA from 1 species